UUAAAAUCGAUGAAGAGGAAAAGUAACAAAAGUAAUCCCCUUAAGCGAGCAGGGAAUGGUGGAAGCCUGUAGGGUUAGCUUUUGAGAAAAGAGCCUUGGAGAUGCUGUCGGAAACUGCUUUGCACAAGUACGAUAUGCCCCUUUUGGGUUAACAUAAUGAGUGGCUAUAUUGCCAAUUAGAGUGGUACCGCGGAAUAUUCCGUCUCUUUU
rnacentral:ncRNA from 1 species